rnacentral:rRNA from 1 species
UACAGAGGAGCCAAGCGUUGUCCGGAUUGACUGGGCGUAAAGCGCACGCAGGCGGAUGCGCGCGUGGGGUGUGAAAUCUGGCCGCUUAACGGCCAGGCGCCAUCCCAUACGGCGCGUCUGGAGUGAUGCAGAGGUCGAUGGAAUUGCCGGUGUAGUGGUGAAAUGCGCAGAUAUCAGGAGGAACACCAACGGCGAAGGCAGCUCGCUGGGACGGUACUGACACUGAGGCGCGAAAGCGUGGGGGAGCGAACAGG